rnacentral:rRNA from 1 species
GAUGAACGCUGGCGGCGUGCCUAAUACAUGCAAGUCGAGCGAACAGACGAGGAGCUUGCUCCUCUGACGUUAGCGGCGGACGGGUGAGUAACAAGUAGAUAACCUUCCUCUAAGACUUGGAUAAUUUCGGGAAACCGGAGCUAAUAACAGAUAAUAUAUUCAACCGCAUGGUUCAAUAGAGAAUGACGGUUUUACUGAUACAUUUAGAUGGUUCCGGGUCGCAUUAGCUAGUUGGUAAGGUAACGGCUUCGCAAGGCAACGAUGCGUAGCCGACCUGAGGGGGUGAUCGGCCACACUGGAACUGAGACACGGUCCAGGCUCCUAAGGGAGGCAGCAGUAGGGAAUCUGCGGCAAUGGGCGAAAGCCUGGCGGAGCAACGCCGCGUGAGUGAUGAAGGUCUUCGGAUCGUAAAGCCCUGUUAUUAGGGAAGAACAUAUGUUUAAGUAAAUAUGGACGUCUUGACGGUACCUAAUGAGAAAGCAACGGCUAACUACGUG